GUUGGAUCAGUGUCAGGACUGAAAAACUAUGAGAAAGGUGGGUGAGUGCAUUAGAGUUCGCUUAACAUUAUUAGACAGCAGCAGCUUACUUCCUGUUAUAUCUGCCCUGAAGAGUUAGGGCGGCCUCACAAAGUUAAUGGACUAAUAGGAUAGUUCGGUAUCACGGACACGCCAACAUCAGAGCAGGGGAGGACGGAGAGUCAAUGAAAUAAAGCUGGAAAAGAGCAGCGAAGGACCCUUGAGAAGGGCAUGUGGAAGCUCACGUAGGACUAGGAAGAAAAGCCCCGUUGUGAACCAGAGUGGUGGUGGUGGCGCACAGGCAGGCAGACAGACAGACUGCAGCCCUCCUCAAUGAGAGAAAAGUUUUCACCAAAGGAUUCUGUCCUAGAAUUAAAUCACCUUCAUGUCGACUCUGUUGGAUACUAACCGGCCGAUGCUAUGGUUACCUUUAUUACGGUACAGGGGUUGGGUUUCUUUCAAUUGCACAUAAAUAUUACGAGAGCCCCCUGCAGCUGUGUGGGAAGGCGUGUGGACGUGUUCUAGGGAGUGGACCUGCUGAUGUGGUUGUGUUUGUAUGUUUGGAAAAAUGAUAUCAUAUUCAAGCGGAUUGUUAACUGACAAGUUUCAAAAAAAUCUGGAAGUAAAGUAGGCUAAUGUGUUUUAAGGUAUAUUUGAAAGUCACAUGUACUACUACUACACUUAUAGUACACUUUGUGGCUACAGUAAGCUUUCUAUUGAUUUGUGCAUGUUCAUAUUGCUUAAAGGCAAUACAUAUUUAAUUCGGUAAAAAUAUUUUUUCAUUGCAAAAGCAAAUAAUUAAAACACACCGAACGAAAGUCAAUAAAAGUUUUUGUGGUUCCCAAGUAGCUGUCCUGUUUUAUUGCAUCGGGCUGUAACAGGUUCAAACCCAGCCUGUAAUGACUAUUUUGCAAUAUAUGUCGGGUGGUUAAAAUGACCUGCUGUUAGAUUCCCCCCAAAAGGUUUAGAACUGAGCUGUGAUGGGUUUACAAAUGAAAAUGGCUAAUCAGACGUUUUCAGUUGGUGUGGCUAAAAUGCUCUCUGCAGCACUUCAGCACACCAUCUAUGAAGUGUACAAGCACCACGUGCAAGAACAUCAGCGAUGGAUGCCCCUCGUGCAAAUUCCAAUCCCACAGGUGUACAUAAUACUUAGUUUUUUUCUUCUAUAGCUGUCAAUUCGACUUGAAAGUGUGCGAGUACAUGCAUGGGUGUGCGGGGAGGUUGCAGGAACAGCUGUUGCAGUGGCGGAUUGGAUGCCCUUCCAACCCUUGCCAUGCAGACACAUACGAGCAGGGUGAGGAAUUAGGACAGAGACAGAGACAACGGACGAGCCGCUUGUACGUGGACUUUAUAGGCCCUAAAAAAAGGCCCUUGGAGGCACCCCGAGACAAACGUACUGCCACGGCUUUGGGCGAUUGCGUGCAAGUGGGAGACAGCUGCAACUAUUCAGUUUAACAGUGUUCAUUCAGAGUUUUACUGCAAGAGAAAAGAGAAAAAUGAGAAGUGAGGGGUGUGAACAGGACAUUGAGUUGAAAAAAAGGCUCGAAGAAUACAAGACAAUAUAUCGAUAAGAGGAAUAUACUGUAGUUGUUGUUGCUUUGGGUGACCCAAAUCUUGACUUUGCAUGUUAAAAGCAGAGAUGAUGCGUCCAUAAAAUAUAAAUGACUAACAAUCAGUGAGGAAGAAUGAUUGCCAAGAGUCCAUGUUGAAAUGUCUUGAUGGCUGAAGGGUACAAGAGUUACUUAAAAGACUCCAAGUGUGUUAAACGAUGUGCUGUUUACUUUGGAAAGAGUAGAAAGAACUUCACCAGAGUCUUAAUGGCUGGGCUUUUUGUUGCAAGAGCAAACGUGUACACCCGUUCAUUGACGAUAGAUAAAUACUGAUGAAGCCGGCCGCAUUUAAUCCUCACUCGGAUCUUGUUCUGAAUUCGCAAAAGUCUAGGGACAUACAUACACUAUUCAUGAGUCAUACGGAAAAUGUAUGCUGCCAACAUUGGGGUAACUUUUUACCACAAGGGCCCCUGUGCACAAAGCAAGGUCUGUGAAGGCAUGGUUGGUGUGGAAGAACUUGACUGACCGGCUUAAUGUAUUAAUCAAGAAGGUUAAUUGUGAGACAGGCACUGGUGACCUCUCACUAAUAUCAGACAAGGCCAGGCUCACAAUAGCCAUGUAUACAUGGACCCAAAUAUUCUAAUUCAUUCGUUAUAUUUUCUCAAACAGAAAGAAUUUAACAUUUUGUAUACACCUCAUUCCAAAAGAAAAGUGCCAAUCCGAAUGAAUAUAUAACCGGAUUCACAGAGGUGGAAUAUUCCAUUCCCCAAUCCGAUUGAGGUAUCUUGUACCCACUCAAACGGAAAGUUGUUAGGGUGCGUUCUUCUUCGUCGUGUUUUUCUUCUUCUGUUGUUUAUUGGUGGUUGGCAAGCAGCUUUCGGUGUGCAUUAACGCCAUCUGUGGAACUGAAUCUAAACAGAAUCUAAACACUUCUAUAGUUUAUUCACAAGUCCAGUUUUUCUUAAAAAAGAAAAUAUAUAUCUAUAUAAAACAUGUCCCCAGUUUGAAGAUUGAAUUUGAUCUUUUCCUGUUUAAAUUUGCUCAGAUAUGACGUAACACGCAGCUCGAGACCUUCUUCAGUUUUAAAAAUGGAGACAAACGAUCAGCACUGGACUGCUGCGGAAUGUUCGUUUUUGAUCCAAACAGAAUUUCAAGACUGGACGAACGAAAAACUUGCAAUACGGAGUUAUUCCAACAAGUGAAAGAAAAACUCGGGGAACAUGUGAUGUUUAUGUUUACGCUUUACUGCGCAUGCCCCAUUGACUAUUCUGUUUGAUUAUAGCGGCUCAUGUAGACAAGAGAUUGGAAUAUUCCUUUCCAUGUAUACCAUGUUUUCGGAAAAGUCAUUCGGAAAGAAAAAAAACUGCUCAAACGUGGCUAAUGUCAAUUCCUCCCAAAAGGUGUUAAGGUCAGGGAUCUUGAGUUCUCCCUCAACCAUGCCUCCAUGGGUCUGUCUUUGCACCAGUCAGCGGCUGAAAGACAUCACUGUCUGCUUCACAUUUGGUUGUGCUCCUCUGCUCUGAUGAAGUUGUGGUCGUUCAUCCAGUAUGGUUGCAAUUGUCGAGCCACGCUGGCUCCGUGAUAGUUUAUCCUUUUAGCCGAGUGUUUACAUGCUGCACAUUCUCGUACAUGGCUUGUCCAUGUGCACAAAACAUAAUGUAAAGAGGUAGAUGAUGCAAUGCACAGCUUUCUCUCCUCUGUAGGACACACACACACACACGGAGUUAAGACAGAGUUAUUGCUUCAAUUCGUGACCUUUCUUGUAUCUUGAUAUUUUUAUCUUACAUCUCGGAUAAACUCAUGCCGUGUAAAGACACUGAGAAAAAAAAGCAUUCUCCUUGACCAAUCGAUUGAUUCUGACUGACGGGUGAAGCAGAUAGGAAUCAAGUGGUUUCGAGGUGAUGUUCUGCCUUCCCGCCACUUCCAUCACAUGACGGAUCUGCUCUCCUCUUUGUCCGUUCUGACCCGCUAAUCUGCUUUACUGUCUGAAACUAUUUUCUUUAUCUCCCUCACUUUUACGGCCCGGAUCUUUAUGUCGCUAAUUUUUUUCUCUUUAUGACCCUCUCUCCAUCUUUCAACCUCCAAACGAUCGCUUUUCCCCGAUUCCUCUCACUCAGGUUCCACUUUUAAGAGUGGAUUGUCUGACCUCCAGAUAGCAAGAGUGUCUGUGGAGUGGUGGUGAUUGAUGGAUCCCUUAGUAUGGACCACCUCUCACUUUUACCCAAAGCGUUCUCAUGCAACCUGCAUCCAACACUGAUGUACGGCACUGGGAAAAAUUAUUGGGCUACAAUUUUACGCUUGUAUUUGCACCGUUGUGUAUAUGAAUACAAAACAAAAACAACUAGGGCUAAAAAUUGGAAUAAUAAUAAUAGAUUCGAUUUUUAUAGGGCUUUCCAAGGCACCCAAGGCGCUUCACAAUGAAUUGAACCCAUUAUUCAUUCAGUCCUCAGUCACGCACUGGUGGUGGUAAUCUACAUCUGUAGUCACAGCUGCCCUGCUCCGGAAACGUGGCUGCCAAUUUGCCCCUACGGCCUCUCCGACCACCACCAAAUUCAUUCCCAAUGUGGGAAUGAAUGUUUCAUAAACCUUGUGUCAGACUUCAUUCACACAGUGUAGCACGUAGGAUGAAGCACAGUCCUCCAAUACUGUAUGUAUCUCCAACCGACACGUCUCUAGUUCCUUCAUUCUGUCCUUCGCAUUACAAGCAUGCGAGAUGCCUUCAGCAAUACCCUGAACAUCACAAAAAUGGCUUAAUAAUGUGUGGAAAUAAACAGGGAGAUGAAGGCAAACAUGAAUUGGAUGUUCUGAACACUCACGUCGUAACGCUUAAUGAUUGAAAUGUUGCUACAUGGACGCGCUACACGGAUGUGCGAUGGUAGUGGGUGUGGAGCGGGAAUGAGAAAAAAAAAGAAAAAUGGUGCAAAUAGGAACAUUUGGAGAUCUUAAUACAUUCAAAUAUAUAUCAUCAUUUAUCUUUCUAGUCAUUAAAGACAGUAAAAAUGCGCAUAGCCCAGACAUAGUUGCUAAUGGUGAUUAAUCACAAUUCAUUAAAAUCUGUGAUUAAUCAGAUUAAUCCAAUCAUUUGUUAUAGUUAAAAAUCUUUAAAUGUUACAAUGUUAAGACAUGUCUGAGAACCAGAUACAGGCAUCCCAAGAGCCAUAUCUGACUUGCGAGCCAUAGGUUCCCUUCCACUGAUACACGGUGUUGGAAUUGAUCUGCUGUUGAUGUUUUCAGCUCCGAAUAAAAUACAUGAUGCGCACGAGUUAACAACACUAAAUAUUUUUAUGUAAUCAAUGAAAUAAAAUUGUGCAGUUUUGGAAAAACAG